GCGCUAUUAGUAUAGAAUUAUACUUGACUUCCAAUCAAGAGACCGUGGCCACUAUCCACGAUAGCGUA
rnacentral:tRNA from 1 species